GGUUAUACCAUGUUGAAACACAGGUUCUCGUACGAUCACUGAAGUUAAGCAACGUUGACCCUGUUCAGUACCUAGAUGGGUGACCGUUUGGAAAUACUAGGUGCAGUAAG